GAGGUUGUGGCUCAGCGGCAGAUGGCUCGCCUAGCAUGUGUGAGGCUCUGGGUUCGAUCCUCAGCACUACA
rnacentral:tRNA from 1 species